GACGAACGCUGGCGGCGUGCUUAACACAUGCAAGUCGAACGAAGAGCGAUGGAAGCUUGCUUCUAUCAAUCUUAGUGGCGAACGGGUGAGUAACGCGUAAUCAACCUGCCCUUCAGAGGGGGACAACAGUUGGAAACGACUGCUAAUACCGCAUACGAUCCAAUCCCGGCAUCGAGAGUGGAUGAAAGGUGGCCUCUAUUUAUAAGCUAUCGCUGAAGGAGGGGAUUGCGUCUGAUUAGCUAGUUGGAGGGGUAACGGCCCACCAAGGCGAUGAUCAGUAGCCGGUCUGAGAGGAUGAACGGCCACAUUGGGACUGAGACACGGCCCAGACUCCUACGGGAGGCAGCAGUGGGGAAUCUUCCGCAAUGGACGAAAGUCUGACGGAGCAACGCCGCGUGAGUGAUGACGGCCUUCGGGUUGUAAAGCUCUGUUAAUCGGGACGAAUGGUUCUUGUGCAAAUAGUGCGAGGAUUUGACG
rnacentral:rRNA from 1 species